rnacentral:rRNA from 1 species
UACGAAGGGGGGCUAGCGUUGUUCGGAAUUACUGGGCGUAAAGCGUGCGCAGGCGGCUUUGCAAGACAGAUGUGAAAUCCCCGGGCUUAACCUGGGAACUGCAUUUGUGACUGCAUGGCUGGAGUGCGGCAGAGGGGGAUGGAAUUCCGCGUGUAGCAGUGAAAUGCGUAGAGAUGCGGAGGAACACCGAUGGCGAAGGCAGCCCCCUGGGCUGACACUGACGCUCAGGCACGAAAGCGUGGGGAGCAAACAGG